GUGGUAGUAAGGGUGCUUUAUUGGAGGUUUCUGCAUACCUGAAUCCUUCUGAAGGUCCUCAGGUGCUCAAGUGAGAGAAGCGUGUGCUUAUCAUGUGCAGUAUUAUCUCCUGUGCUCUCUAAAUACUCUUUGGUGACAAAAGUUCAUUGCGAGGGACCUCUGGAGAUCGUCUGUUUUAACUUCCCAUGUGAAGUGAAACUGCUGCUGGUGCUGGACCAGACCCGGUUUAUGGAACUGCUGGCAGUAGCUGCAGAUCUAUUUGAAUCAAAAUGAAAGCUGAUGGAAGAAAUCAAAAAUGCAGUGCAGCAGCUCAGUGUUGAUGCAUACCAAGGAUGGUAAAGACCACAUCAAGGAGUGGGCAGGGGGGAACACAAUCUUGGAGCUGAUGUAAUUCUAAAGUAAGAUUCCUCCUGGAGCAUCCAAAUGAUAGGCAUAAGUAGAAGCAGAUGAUUUUCUGGAGGAGAUCUGGCAGCUGACACGGUGUCCUGUCUCCAGUUGCUUGCCUGCGUCCCUGUGCUACUCCAUCUGUUGUCCUUGUUGGGAAACCAAACAAGCUAAGAAACUGCUUUUAUGUUGUUGUUGCUAGGCUAUUUUUUAGCCCUAUCAGUUUCACAGCCUGAUGCACUGUGUGACUACCCAAAUAGCCAUGCCAUAACAAGGGAGAGGGUAGUGCAGAGACAGGAGUGAGCAGUCAGGACUGGGAAGGGCAGGGACUGCCUCGACAGUGCUGCAGUACCAUCUCUGAAAACCUCAUUUUUCUCCUUUUCUCCCCCAGAACUACAUGCUGCAUGUUAAAUAUAACAUAGCGCUGGGUUCUGUGUUACGUAUUUCAUACAACAUUGUAUAGGUAGGAGCCACUUCAAAAAAAACCUUUGAACUGCAGAAUGGAGCACUUCUUCACCUAUGGUAACCUUAAUUCUGCUCCCCUUUUUAUUACAAUAGCAUUAUUAUAAUAGUGUCCUACUGCUAUAAUGGUAGCAUUAGAGAUUUAUGUAGUACAUGAAAAUACUCUGUAACUACUAUACAAUGCUGUACAAUAUGAUAACAUAGAAUAUAUACAUAGUAUACUUACAUAAUGUUAGAAAACUAAAAAGUUUGAACCAGCAUUGCAUUAUCUGGGCCAUGUAGCCUGCCUGUGACUUAUAAGCAUAGGUGACUCCCAGUCAUUUUCUUUUCUUGAGGCAUCUCUUAUGACAAAGAAAUGUGCACUCGUGUGAUGCAAGAUGGGGUUCAAGAAAAUGAAUCUUGAAAGUGAGCAGCUUCUGCCUUCUGCUAUGAGUUACAGGUCUAAGGAGCCUGAGCAAGAAUAUGUCAGUGGUAUAAUCCUUAAUGAUCCUAACCACCUCCUUCCUAGUACUUUUUUCAAAUGUGGACAAAAAGCCAGAACUUAAAUAAUAAAUCCCACCUCCAUGCAUACAGAUCAGUUAUCCAUGUGCCUAGAGCAGGUCCAGUUAUAAGACACAAAGAAGGCCAUACACACGGCUCACCUUUGCAAAGGCAGGUGUGUAACCAGCAAGGUCACCAGUACUUGAAAUACCAAAAUGAGCCUUGGAAUACCUGAGGUAGCAGACAGUUCUUUAUGUUAAUCUAGAUGUGGCUAUUGCAAUUCAAAAAAAAAAAAAAUGCAGGAAGUAUACAGUUUGCCUGGUUUCCCACUGAGGGACAAGUUGGUCAGUAUCUCUACAAAAUAAAGUCACUCACCAGAGUAUAUCACUGAUAUAUCACUAGAAUACAUCCCUUUGUUUUUGCAAGAAGGAGCAGCUGUAGCAGCACCCUCUUCUUUCUCUCUAGAAACAGACUUGCUCAUGAGAGAGAAGGAUAUCUUUGCAGAGCAAGCAAUGUAAUAUAAUAGCAUGUUAAAAAAGAAAGAAAAAGAAACUAAGUUUAGCUAAUGUCUGCUUUUUGUUCCUUUAGGAUUCUUAUAUUGGCUUUCUGAUUGUUAUUCUAAGCUGUGGAUAGAAGAACGACACACACUAACAAACAACCUCACUUUGCAGAGCUGGGGCAUUACAGAAUUAAGCUGUCAAGAGGAAGGUUACAGUCCAUUUUGACACAGCUGCAGAAGUUAAAAUUCACUCUCGAUGUUUUCAUUCACUGCUGAGGAUUUUUUCUGCAAGUGGGCAUUUAAUACAGUUGAGAGAAAAAGACUUGAUUGCAAGGGAGAAAAGUAAGGAAGAUCAUUAGUUAAAAAAUUUGGCCCAGCUGGGGAAGAGACAAUAAUUAAUGUUUAUGGUUUGUUAUGGACUAUUUAUAGGAUAUGAUGGAUUUUUAUUCUGUGUAGUUUUCUACUGCUUUGUACUUUGUUAUGCAGUCUGGAACUUAUUGUGAAGAUAAGGACCAGCAUUUACUAUUUUGUAUAUUAGUAGUUCACGAAGUAGGGGUUAUUAGAUCAACUCUUUUGCAGUUCAGUAGCUUUUUUGUAAUGUUAGCUUAUUGAAAGUGUGUGUGUUCUAUGUAGAUGGGCAGAAACUAAGCAAAUGAACUUCCUAAUACUUAAACAAAUGCUCAAAGCAAAGAUGUAACGCUGGUAGAUCUAGCAAGCCUAACCUCAGGCAUGAAUAUGAAUGUUUUACAGGUUCUAUUAAAGAGAGGACUUCCCACUAAAAAAAGAAGUCUUAGGGAGCUAAUGCCAUAAUGAAUGUACCAAAUAAGAGAUUGUGCUAAAUAAAAAAUGAAUGAAAAU
ensembl:lncRNA